rnacentral:rRNA from 1 species
GACGAACGCUGGCGGCGUGCCUAACACAUGCAAGUCGAACGGAGUGAAGCCCUUCGGGACUUCACUUAGUGGCGAACGGGUGAGUAACGCGUGAGGAACCUGCCUUUCAGUGGGGGACAACAGUUGGAAACGACUGCUAAUACCGCAUAAUACUUUUUGGGGACAUCCCCGAAAAGUCAAAGCUUUAUGUGCUGAAAGAUGGCCUCGCGUCUGAUUAGCUAGUUGGUGAGGUAACGGCCCACCAAGGCGACGAUUGGUAGCCGGACUGAGAGGUUGAACGGCCACAUUGGGACUGAGACACGGCCCAGACUCCUACGGGAGGCAGCAGUGGGGAAUAUUGCACAAUGGGGGAAACCCUGAUGCAGCGACGCCGCGUGGAGGAAGAAGGUCUUCGGAUUGUAAACUCCUGUUGUUGAGGAAGAUAAUGACGGUACUCAACAAGGAAGUGACGGCUAACUACGUG